AGGUCCGAUCACUGUAACCAUGCUGAAGGAAGUCUUUGUGCUGGGAUGCCUCCUGAGCAUCAUUCUGGCUACUCCUGACAUGGAGCACAAACGAUUUGCUCGGUCUGACUCUAGCUCUUCAAGUUCUGAAGAGGGUACUACCACUGCCGCUACAGCUGCCACUACCACUGUCAAUGCGUUGCAGGCCUUAAUCUUACAAUUACUUCAACAAUUGGCUACUGCUACUACUACUACUGCAGCUACUACUACGACUACGACUACAGCUGCCGCU